rnacentral:rRNA from 1 species
UGCAGUCGAACGAGACCUUCGGGUCUAGUGGCGCACGGGUGCGUAACGCGUGGGAACCUGCCUUUAGGUUCGGAAUAACUCAGAGAAAUUUGAGCUAAUACCGGAUAAUGUCUUCGGACCAAAGAUUUAUCGCCUUUAGAUGGGCCCGCGUUGGAUUAGCUAGUUGGUGGGGUAAAGGCCUACCAAGGCGACGAUCCAUAGCUGGUCUGAGAGGAUGAUCAGCCACACUGGGACUGAGACACGGCCCAGACUCCUACGGGAGGCAGCAGUGGGGAAUAUUGGACAAUGGGCGAAAGCCUGAUCCAGCAAUGCCGCGUGAGUGAUGAAGGCCUUAGGGUUGUAAAGCUCUUUUACCAGGGAUGAUAAUGACAGUACCUGGAGAAUAAGCUCCGGCUAACUCCGUGCCAGCAGCCGCGGUAAUACGGAGGGAGCUAGCGUUGUUCGGAAUUACUGGGCGUAAAGC